rnacentral:rRNA from 1 species
UUAAGCGACUAAGCGUACACGGUGGAUGCCCUGGCAGUCAGAGGCGAUGAAGGACGUGCUAAUCUGCGAAAAGCGUCGGUAAGGUGAUAUGAACCGUUAUAACCGGCGAUGUCCGAAUGGGGAAACCCAGUGCAAUUCGUUGCACUAUCGUUAACUGAAUACAUAGGUUAACGAGGCGAACCGGGGGAACUGAAACAUCUAAGUACCCCGAGGAAAAGAAAUCAACCGAGAUUCCCCCAGUAGCGGCGAGCGAACGGGGAGCAGCCCAGAGUCUGAAUCAGCUUGUGUGUUAGUGGAACGGUCUGGAAAGUCCGACGGUACAGGGUGAUAGUCCCGUACACCAAAAUGCACAGGCUGUGAACUCGAAGAGUAGGGCGGGACACGUGGUAUCCUGUCUGAAUAUGGGGGGACCAUCCUCCAAGGCUAAAUACUCCUGACUGACCGAUAGUGAACCAGUACCGUGAGGGAAAGGCGAAAAGAACCCCGGCGAGGGGAGUGAAAAAGAACCUGAAACCGUGUACGUACAAGCAGUGGGAGCACCUUCGGGUGUGACUGCGUACCUUUUGUAUAAUGGGUCAGCGACUUAUAUUCUGUAGCAAGGUUAACCGUAUAGGGGAGCCGCAGGGAAACCGAGUCUUAACUGGGCGUUAAGUUGCAGGGUAUAGACCCGAAACCCGGUGAUCUAGCCAUGGGCAGGUUGAAGGUUGGGUAACACUAACUGGAGGACCGAACCGACUAAUGUUGAAAAAUUAGCGGAUGACUUGUGGCUGGGGGUGAAAGGCCAAUCAAACCGGGAGAUAGCUGGUUCUCCCCGAAAGCUAUUUAGGUAGCGCCUCGUGAACUCAUCUUCGGGGGUAGAGCACUGUUUCGGCUAGGGGGUCAUCCCGACUUACCAACCCGAUGCAAACUACGAAUACCGAAGAAUGUUAUCACGGGAGACACACGGCGGGUGCUAACGUCCGUCGUGAAGAGGGAAACAACCCAGACCGCCAGCUAAGGUCCCAAAGUCAUGGUUAAGUGGGAAACGAUGUGGGAAGGCACAGACAGCCAGGAUGUUGGCUUAGAAGCAGCCAUCAUUUAAAGAAAGCGUAAUAGCUCACUGGUCGAGUCGGCCUGCGCGGAAGAUGUAACGGGGCUAAACCAUGCACCGAAGCUGCGGCAGCGACACUAUGUGUUGUUGGGUAGGGGAGCGUUCUGUAAGCCUGCGAAGGUGUGCUGUGAGGCAUGCUGGAGGUAUCAGAAGUGCGAAUGCUGACAUAAGUAACGAUAAAGCGGGUGAAAAGCCCGCUCGCCGGAAGACCAAGGGUUCCUGUCCAACGUUAAUCGGGGCAGGGUGAGUCGACCCCUAAGGCGAGGCCGAAAGGCGUAGUCGAUGGGAAACAGGUUAAUAUUCCUGUACUUGGUGUUACUGCGAAGGGGGGACGGAGAAGGCUAUGUUAGCCGGGCGACGGUUGUCCCGGUUUAAGCAUGUAGGCUGGUUGUCCAGGCAAAUCCGGAUAAUCAAGGCUGAGGUGUGAUGACGAGGCACUACGGUGCUGAAGUAACAAAUGCCCUGCUUCCAGGAAAAGCCUCUAAGCAUCAGGUAACAUCAAAUCGUACCCCAAACCGACACAGGUGGUCAGGUAGAGAAUACCAAGGCGCUUGAGAGAACUCGGGUGAAGGAACUAGGCAAAAUGGUGCCGUAACUUCGGGAGAAGGCACGCUGGUGUGUAGGUGAAGCCCCUGCGGGUGGAGCUGAGACCAGUCGAAGAUACCAGCUGGCUGCAACUGUUUAUUAAAAACACAGCACUGUGCAAACACGAAAGUGGACGUAUACGGUGUGACGCCUGCCCGGUGCCGGAAGGUUAAUUGAUGGGGUUAUCCGUAAGGAGAAGCUCUUGAUCGAAGCCCCGGUAAACGGCGGCCGUAACUAUAACGGUCCUAAGGUAGCGAAAUUCCUUGUCGGGUAAGUUCCGACCUGCACGAAUGGCGUAAUGAUGGCCAGGCUGUCUCCACCCGAGACUCAGUGAAAUUGAACUCGCUGUGAAGAUGCAGUGUACCCGCGGCAAGACGGAAAGACCCCGUGAACCUUUACUAUAGCUUGACACUGAACAUUGAGCCUUGAUGUGUAGGAUAGGUGGGAGGCUUUGAAGCGUGGACGCCAGUCUGCGUGGAGCCAACCUUGAAAUACCACCCUUUAAUGUUUGAUGUUCUAACGUUGGCCCCUGACCGGGGUUGCGGACAGUGUCUGGUGGGUAGUUUGACUGGGGCGGUCUCCUCCCAAAGCGUAACGGAGGAGCACGAAGGUUAGCUAAUCCUGGUCGGACAUCAGGAGGUUAGUGCAAUGGCAUAAGCUAGCUUGACUGCGAGCGUGACGGCGCGAGCAGGUGCGAAAGCAGGUCAUAGUGAUCCGGUGGUUCUGAAUGGAAGGGCCAUCGCUCAACGGAUAAAAGGUACUCCGGGGAUAACAGGCUGAUACCGCCCAAGAGUUCAUAUCGACGGCGGUGUUUGGCACCUCGAUGUCGGCUCAUCACAUCCUGGGGCUGAAGUAGGUCCCAAGGGUAUGGCUGUUCGCCAUUUAAAGUGGUACGCGAGCUGGGUUUAGAACGUCGUGAGACAGUUCGGUCCCUAUCUGCCGUGGGCGCUGGAGAAUUGAGGGGGGCUGCUCCUAGUACGAGAGGACCGGAGUGGACGCAUCACUGGUGUUCGGGUUGUCAUGCCAAUGGCACUGCCCGGUAGCUAAAUGCGGAAGAGAUAAGUGCUGAAAGCAUCUAAGCACGAAACUUGCCCCGAGAUGAGUUCUCCCUGAGACUUUAAGUCUCCUGAAGGAACGUUGAAGACGACGACGUUGAUAGGCCGGGUGUGUAAGCGCAGCGAUGCGUUGAGCUAACCGGUACUAAUGAACCGUGAGGCUUAACCUU